rnacentral:rRNA from 1 species
ACGGGUCUAUACAUGCAGUCGAGCGGACAGAUGGGAGCUUGACAUCCCUGAUGUUAGCGGCGGACGGGUGAGUAACACGUGGGUAACCUGCCUGUAAGACUGGGAUAACUCCGGGAAACCGGGGCUAAUACCGGAUGGUUGUUUGAACCGCAUGGUUCAGACAUAAAAGGUGGCUUCGGCUACCACUUACAGAUGGACCCGCGGCGCAUUAGCUAGUUGGUGAGGUAACGGCUCACCAAGGCGACGAUGCGUAGCCGACCUGAGAGGGUGAUCGGCCACACUGGGACUGAGACACGGCCCAGACUCCUACGGGAGGCAGCAGUAGGGAAUCUUCCGCAAUGGACGAAAGUCUGACGGAGCAACGCCGCGUGAGUGAUGAAGGUUUUCGGAUCGUAAAGCUCUGUUGUUAGGGAAGAACAAGUGCCGUUCAAAUAGGGCGGCACCUUGACGGUACCUAACCAGAAAGCCACGGCUAACUACGUGCCAGCAGCCGCGGUAAUACGUAGGUGGCAAGCGUUGUCCGGAAUUAUUGGGCGUAAAGGGCUCGCAGGCGGUUUCUUAAGUCUGAUGUGAAAGCCCCCGGCUCAACCGGGGAGGGUCAUUGGAAACUGGGGAACUUGAGUGCAGAAGAGGAGAGUGGAAUUCCACGUGUAGCGGUGAAAUGCGUAGAGAUGUGGAGGAACACCAGUGGCGAAGGCGACUCUCUGGUCUGUAACUGACGCUGAGGAGCGAAAGCGUGGGGAGCGAACAGGAUUAGAUACCCCUGGUAGUCCACGCCGUAAACGAUGAGUGUAAGUGGUUUAAGGGGGUUUCCGCCCCUUAGUGCUGCAGCUAACGCAUUAAGCACUCCGCCUGGGGGAAGUACGGUCCGCAAGACUGAAACUCAAAGGAAAUUGGACGGGGGCCCGCACAAGCGGGGGAGGGAUGGGGGGUUUAAAUUCGAAGCAACGCGAAGAACCUUAACCAGGUCUUGACAUCCUCUGACAUCCUAGAGGAAUAGGACGUCCCCCUUCGGGGGGCAAAGGGGACAAGGG